rnacentral:ncRNA from 1 species
AAUCUUGCGUUGAUGAAGAGUAAGUAACAUGAUGGACGUUUUUUAGAGAGCUGAUGGUUGGUGCGAAUCAGUAGCGGAAAUGAUGUGAAUGGACUUCGGAGCGACUAAGCUGAACGGGAAUUCUCCUCAGUAGGAGUUAGCGAUUAGGCCUUAUCGUUACACAAGGCACCCCAUAGUUAUGUGGGAUUGAGUGAAUCGUUUUUUCGAUUAAUGAAGGUGGCACCACGGGUCUCCCGUCCUUAUC